GACAUCGAAUAUCGACGUCAUAAACAUCUAAGUUGAUCGUGUUUAUGACGUCGAAUAUCGACGUCAUAAACACCUAAGUGGAUCGUGUUUAUGACAUCGAAUAUCGACGUCAAAAACAUCUACGUUGAUCGGGUUUAUGACGUCGAAUAUCGAAGUCAUAAACAUCUAAGUUGAUCGUGUUUAUGACGUCGAAUAUCGACGUCAUAAACACCAAAGUUGAUCGUGUUUAUUACGUCGAAUAUCGACGUC